ACCUCGGUGGCUCAGUGGUUGAGCAUCUGACUUUGGCUCAGGUCAUGAUCCCAGGGUU
rnacentral:tRNA from 1 species